rnacentral:lncRNA from 1 species
AGAGGCGAUGAGAUUCAGAAGUUGUGGGAAGGGAUCCCAAAAGGUGAUAGGAGGUUAAUUGGAGAAGGAAGUGGAAGCCAGAGAAAUUUCCUGCAUCAGAGAUGACAAAGGAGCUUGUUCUUUCAAAUAUUUUUAUGCAAAUUUCAAUCAUGAACAAAAGUAGAACAUAGAGUAUGAUGAACCCCACGUAUUCAUCACUCAACUUCAACAAUUAUCAGCUCUUAGCUGAUUUUGUUUCUUCUAGAUUCCCACCUAUUCCCUCAUCCCCAACCCCAAUGAAUUAUUUUGAAACAAAGUCCAGAGAUAGUUAUCACUGCACAGAUUACAUUUUAAUCUGUUUGAUGAGCCAUCUGUGCUGUAGCUUCCCUCCUACUGCCCAAACAUCAAUAAAGUGUCCAACAUGUACAGCUUAAGUGUCACUGGAGGGAGGUAAAGAGCAAAACAAAUUUGCAUUUGGGCCAAAGUGGAUAAAGAAUACGACAGUAGUAUUAAACUUGAUGCAGAGCUGAGAUUAAGCAGAGCUCCCAAGAAUGCUUGAAAUUAUUGGGGGGUGACGAGGGGAAGAAAGUGAUUCUAGAUUUUCUACAGGAGGUCAGAGUUCAUGCAGGGCUCUGUGUGUGUGUGUUUUAGUAUUAAAAUUGGUGACUCUAAAAGACGGGAAGAAUUGGGGACAGCCAGACAGCUGGCAUUUGGGUUAUAGUUAAAUAUUCCAAGUUUCCUUUCCUUGAAAGGAAAGAAAAUACUAAAUUUAAACGCCAUCUUUCAGUUUCUCAGUCAAUAAUUUUCCUUUCUGUCUCUUGUAUAAUUUCUAGACAGCAAUGCAAGGGAUUUAUUCUCCAUGAAGCCUUUCAGACACAUGAAAUAUCUGGAGAAGAAUUGUUCGGCAACCCUAAUCCCAAUUCAGUUUUCAACUGCUUUCAUGAGUUAUGGGGGCUUCCCAGAUGGCUCAGUGGUUAAAGAAUCCGCCUGCCAAUAUGGGAGAUGCAAGAGAUGCCAAUUUAAUCCCUGUGUUGGGAAGAUCCCCUGGAGGAGGACAUGGAAACACGCUCCCAUAUUCUUGCAUGAAGACUUCCGUGAAGAGAGGAACCUGGUUGGCUACAGUCCAUGGCGUUGCAAAGAGUCGGACAUGACCAAGCACACACAUACACAGCAUGAGUGA